ACAGGGAUUGCCCCAGUAACGGCGAGUGAAGCGGCAACAGCUCAGAUUUGAAAUCCGGCCUCGGCCCGAGUUGUAAUCUGCAGGGGAUGUCCCUGGCGCGGCGCCUACCGAGUUCCCUGGAACGGGACGCCAUAGAGGGUGAGAGCCCCGUAUGGUUGGACGCCUAGCCUCUGUGGGACUCCUCCGACGAGUCGAGUAGUUUGGGAAUGCUGCUCAAAUUGGGAGGUAAAUCUCUUCUAAAGCUAAAUACCGGCCAGAGACCGAUAGCGCACAAGUAGAGUGAUCGAAAGAUGAAAAGCACCUUGGAAAGGGGGUUAAACAGCACGUGAAAUUGUUGAAAGGGAAGCGCCCAUGACCAGACUCGCGCCGGGCGGAUCAUCCAGCGUUCUCGCUGGUGCACUCCGCCCGGUACGGGCCAGCAUCGGUUUUCGCGGGGGGAUAAGAGCGGCGGGAACGUGGCCCCUCCGGGGGUGUUAUAGCCCGCCGCACGAUGCCCUCUUGGAGACCGAGGUUCGCGCUCUGCAAGGAUGCUGGCAUAAUGGUCAUCGGCGACCCGUCUUGAAACACGGACCAAGGAGUCGUCCAUUACGGCGAGCGUUUGGGUGUCAAACCCCUACGCGUAAUGAAAGUGAACGCAGGUGAGAGCUUCGGCGCAUCAUCGACCGAUCCUGAUGUACUCGGAUGGAUUUGAGUAAGAGUCGUACCGGACGGACCCGAAAGAUGGUGAACUAUGCCUGUAUAGGGUGAAGCCAGAGGAAACUCUGGUGGAGGCUCGCAGCGGUUCUGACGUGCAAAUCGAUCGUCAAAUAUGGGCAUGGGGGCGAAAGACUAAUCGAACCAUCUA
rnacentral:rRNA from 1 species